rnacentral:rRNA from 1 species
AUUGAACGCUGGCGGCAGGCCUAACACAUGCAAGUCGAGCGAGCGGCGGACGGGUGAGUAAUGUAUGGGGACUGCCCGAUAGAGGGGGGGAACGACUGGAAAAGGUAGCUAAUACCGCAUCGUAUGGGAGAACGCAUAUGGGAUUAGCUAGUAGGUGAGGUAAUGGCUCACCUAGGCGACGAUCCCUAGCUGGGCUGAGAGGAUGAUCAGCCACACUGGGACUGAGACACGGCCCAGACUCCUACGGAGGCAGCAGUGGGGAAUAUUGCACAAUGGGCGCAAGCCUGAUGCAGCCAUGCCGCGUGUAUGAAGAAGGCCCUAGGGUUGUAAAGUACUUUCAGUCGGGAGGCGUUACCGACAGAAGAAGCACCGGCUAACUCCGUGCCAGCAGCCGCGGUAAUAC